rnacentral:tRNA from 2 species
GCGCACGUGGCGUAAUUGGUAGCCGCGCCAGACUUAGGAUCUGGUCCGUGAGGGUGGGGGUUCGAGUCCCUUCGUGCGUA